rnacentral:misc_RNA from 4 species
CUGCGAGUUCGCGGGAGAGUAGGUUAUUGCCAGGGUUUUUAUUUUAUACUUUAAGUUUUGAUUUUAUUUUUACGUUAUUUAAAUAUUGGUGUUUUUAAAUGUGUUAUUUAAAUAACAUAAAAAAUAAAAUAUAUGUUGACAUGUAUUAAACAAAGAUAUAUAUUAUUUUAUGUUGCAUAAACAAAUUGGCAAAAUAGAGAUGGAAGAUAAAAAUAUGGUCAAAGUAAUAAGAGUCUAUGGUGAAUGCCUAGGA